GACGAACGCUGGCGGCGUGCUUAACACAUGCAAGUCGAACGGAAAGGCCCUGCUUUUGUGGGGUGCUCGAGUGGCGAACGGGUGAGUAACACGUGAGUAACCUGCCCUUGACUUUGGGAUAACUUCAGGAAACUGGGGCUAAUACCGGAUAGGAGCUCCUGCUGCAUGGUGGGGGUUGGAAAGUUUCGGCGGUUGGGGAUGGACUCGCGGCUUAUCAGCUUGUUGGUGGGGUAGUGGCUUACCAAGGCUUUGACGGGUAGCCGGCCUGAGAGGGUGACCGGCGACAUUGGGACUGAGAUACGGACCAGACUCCUACGGGAGGCAGCAGUGGGGAAUAUUGCACAAUGGGCGGAAGCCUGAUGCAGCAACGCCGCGUGCGGGAUGACGGCCUUCAGGUUGUAAACCGCUUUCGCCUGUGACGAAGCGUGAGUGACGGUAAUGGGUAAAGAAGCACCGGCUAACUACGUG
rnacentral:rRNA from 1 species